UACGUAGGGUGCAAGCGUUGUCCGGAAUUAUUGGGCGUAAAGAGCUCGUAGGCGGUCUGUUGCGUCGGCUGUGAAAACCCGAGACUCAACCUCGGGCCUGCAGCCGAUACGGGCAGACUAGAGUUCGGCAGGGGAGACUGGAAUUCCUGGUGUAGCGGUGAAAUGCGCAGAUAUCAGGAGGAACACCGGUGGCGAAGGCGGGACUCUGGACCGAUACUGACGCUGAGGAGCGAAAGCGUGGGGAGCGAACAGG
rnacentral:rRNA from 1 species